rnacentral:tRNA from 1 species
GCCUGGGUGGCUUAGUCGGUUAAGCCUCUGAUUUCAGCUCAGCUUAUGAUCUCAUGGUUCAUGAGUUCGAGCCCCAUAUCAGGCU